UUGGGAAUUUUCCUGCAUGAAAAGAUAAUCAUCAAAUAUAAUUAUGACCCAAACCCAUUAUAAUGCCAUAGGGUUUUGGGUUCUCGAGCUUCUCUGAUGGCCUAAACAGGUACAACAAUAGCAAGAGCUUCAACGCUUUGAUCUCUCAAGCGAAAUGCGUGACCAAUUAUGUCAUAAUGAAACAUCAAUAUUGAAGCCACAUCAAUAAUCUGCAAAUACGCCCUCAAAUCAUCUAUAACCACUAGGGGUCCAGCAGAAUACUACCCGGAAGAAGAAGAAGAAGAUUCAUGAAGAGAAUCUUGGAGAGGUCAGGGUUGGGGGAGACGACGUAUUUCCCAUAAGCUUUUUCCAAUUAUCCACCAGAUCCCGGCAUGGCUAAGCAAAAUUGGAUGAAAGGGUUAAAAAGAAGCACCCAGAAUGAAAGAAAAUCUUGUGUACGUCGACCGUACUAAGCAUUAAAAGUUGAUCGGAAUCACUUUUCACGUGUUCCUUCUGGAAUUUGUUUACCUAUUGUCUUUGCCAGCUAGAAGUCAGUUCUGGCCGGAGGAGUGGGGACUGGGGGGAAGAUUCCCGAAGAGGGAGUGUGUGGCAGAGGAUGAAGCGAUCUUAGAAUUGUCAGUUGUAAUUGCACCGAACUCUGCAGUGGAAGCUACUGCUAGAACAAAUAUAGACAUUACACUUAUAGAUA